GAUGGGGAGCGAAAUUUAGUAGCGAAGUAGCUGAUUUCACACUGUCAAGAAAAGUCACUAGCGAGGUUAAAGGCACCCGGACCGCAAACCGACACAGGUGGGUGAGGAGAGUAUCCGAAGGCCAGCGAGAGAACUGGUGUUAAGGAACUGGGCAAAAGGACCCCGGAACUUAGGGAUAAGGGGUGCCACCAUCAGGUGGCCGCAGAGAAUAGGGCCAAGCGACUGUUUACCAAAAACAUAGGUUUCUGCUAAGUCGCAAGACGAUGUAUAGGAGCUGACGCCUGCCCGGUGCUGGAAGGUUAAGGGGAUCUGUUAGAGCAAUCGAAGCAGUGAACUUAAGCC
rnacentral:rRNA from 1 species